rnacentral:lncRNA from 1 species
CAUGAUCUCAAUCAUUUGGCUAGGUAAGCAAUAAUCUAAUAUGAAUGAAAAGAAGGAUUCAAAUAUUAUUAUUUUAAGGUGGUUAUCACUCAAGAACAAGGAACUUGAUCAUUAUGCAAAAUUUAUCUAAGAUUAGAAGCAACUCAUGCAUACAUAGAUUUAUUCUCAUCAUUCUAUCCUUUUCCUAAGUGAUUACAAGUUCUACCCUUUUAUCAUCAUCUCAAAACCAAAAUAAAACCCACUCACAUCACUCACCCAAUGAACAACUCUCUUUUUCUUUUGACUCAACCAACUAGGGACUUUAAUUCAUUUUCUUUACAACACUUAGCUCUAACUCUUUCUCAUCUCCUUCCCCACCUUCUCUUUGAUUCUUUUUCUCUUUUUUUUUUCUUUUUUUUUUUUAGGGGGGAGGUUCUUUUGUACAUAAUCUAGAGCUUCAUACUUUCCUUUUUGUCCCUAGAGUUUUCUUUUCUAUUGACACUCUUUUGUUCAUCUCUCUCAUUUUUCUCACUUUCCAAACCCAAGAUAUUAAAAUUUAGAUCACACAAACCCCUCUCACCAUCCCUAAGUGCUAGCUCAUUAUGCUAGUAAGAGAUGAGAAUAAACAUAUGUCGCCUCCAAUACUCUCAAGAUUUUGCACAUGACAAGCUAUCAAAAGAGGCCUCACUCAUGCAAUUUAAUGUUUGGUCUCAAAGAAUGGCUAGGGUUGUAGGGUAUGGAAUGCCAUUUGGGUUAACAAAGAUUGAUAUAAAGGAAUAAGAUAACCCAAAUGUGUAUGAGAUCCAUGAUCAAGUAUGCAAAUGCCCAUAUGCAAGAGAUAUUAAGUUCAUUCAAGCCAAGUUAAGAUUGGAGCUGAUCUUAAGAACAAUGCCAACAUCAAGCAAGCAAACAAGUUUCAAGAAGAGUUUUCAAGGCUCGAAGCUUACAAGCUUUUUCAAAAGAUGCUUAAGCUACUUGAUAUGUUUAGCUA